AGCAAUUCUCCAUAACUGCUUCAAGCUGAAACAGGGUGCAGGUGGUCAGGACUCUGGCUAGUCAAAGAAUGUUGAUGUCAAACUCUUUCAACCAAUUGCAGCUGGCAUUGACAGAAGAGCCGAGUUCCCCCUCUAAGGUGCACGCGAUUGUGAUAGAGAAUGUUCAUGAUUGCCUCACCCUUGUGCACCGCAAGAAGGUGUGUAUGGAUUGACUUAUAGAGAAGCAAGCUUGGAAAGAAAAAUGCAGAUGGCGGCCCCAGGGGGUCAGAGUCCUGGGUCCAGAAUUUUCAAAGAGAAGAAAACUACAUUCCAGAAAGACUCUACAUCUCUCAACGUGAAGAUUUUCUGCUCAUUGUCUCACUAUAAUACAUCUGUGCCCUGUAAAAGCCAUUUACGAUACUGAUGCCCCUGAGAAGAUGGAAAAGUCUCCUCUGUUUUCCUCAGUGCUAGC